GUCAUCGGCCAUAGCACCCUGAACUUGCCCGAUCUCGUCUGAUCUCGGAAGCUAAGCAGGGUCGGGCCUGGUUAGUACUUGGAUGGGAGACAAUUAAACUUAUAAACUUUUAAAUGUAUAGGUUGAUUACA
rnacentral:rRNA from 1 species